rnacentral:pre_miRNA from 1 species
UUAACUCAUAUUUGUAUGGAAUGGGAUUAUUUGCCUAUGUUUGCCGCUAGGGGCGCUGUUCCAACUGCAUACAAAAUUGGGCUA